rnacentral:rRNA from 1 species
GAUGAACGCUGGCGGCGUGCCUAAUACAUGCAAGUCGAGCGAACGGACGAGAAGCUUGCUUCUCUGAUGUUAGCGGCGGACGGGUGAGUAACACGUGGAUAACCUACCUAUAAGACUGGGAUAACUUCGGGAAACCGGAGCUAAUACCGGAUAAUAUUUUGAACCGCAUGGUUCAAAAGUGAAAGACGGUCUUGCUGUCACUUAUAGAUGGAUCCGCGCUGCAUUAGCUAGUUGGUAAGGUAACGGCUUACCAAGGCAACGAUGCAUAGCCGACCUGAGAGGGUGAUCGGCCACACUGGAACUGAGACACGGUCCAGACUCCUACGGGAGGCAGCAGUAGGGAAUCUUCCGCAAUGGGCGAAAGCCUGACGGAGCAACGCCGCGUGAGUGAUGAAGGUCUUCGGAUCGUAAAACUCUGUUAUUAGGGAAGAACAUAUGUGUAAGUAACUGUGCACAUCUUGACGGUACCUAAUCAGAAAGCCACGGCUAACUACGUGCCAGCAGCCGCGGUAAUACGUAGGUGGCAAGCGUUAUCCGGAAUUAUUGGGCGUAAAGCGCGCGUAGGCGGUUUUUUAAGUCUGAUGUGAAAGCCCACGGCUCAACCGUGGAGGGUCAUUGGAAACUGGAAAACUUGAGUGCAGAAGAGGAAAGUGGAAUUCCAUGUGUAGCGGUGAAAUGCGCAGAGGUAUGGAGGAACACCAGUGGCGAAGGCGACUUUCUGGUCUGUAACUGACGCUGAUGUGCGAAAGCGUGGGGAUCAAACAGGAUUAGAUACCCUGGUAGUCCACGCCGUAAACGAUGAGUGCUAAGUGUUAGGGGGUUUCCGCCCCUUAGUGCUGCAGCUAACGCAUUAAGCACUCCGCCUGGGGAGUACGACCGCAAGGUUGAAACUCAAAGGAAUUGACGGGGACCCGCACAAGCGGUGGAGCAUGUGGUUUAAUUCGAAGCAACGCGAAGAACCUUACCAAAUCUUGACAUCCUUUGACAACUCUAGAGAUAGAGCCUUCCCCUUCGGGGGACAAAGUGACAGGUGGUGCAUGGUUGUCGUCAGCUCGUGUCGUGAGAUGUUGGGUUAAGUCCCGCAACGAGCGCAACCCUUAAGCUUAGUUGCCAUCAUUAAGUUGGGCACUCUAAGUUGACUGCCGGUGACAAACCGGAGGAAGGUGGGGAUGACGUCAAAUCAUCAUGCCCCUUAUGAUUUGGGCUACACACGUGCUACAAUGGACAAUACAAAGGGCAGCGAAACCGCGAGGUCAAGCAAAUCCCAUAAAGUUGUUCUCAGUUCGGAUUGUGGUCUGCAACUCGACUACAUGAAGCUGGAAUCGCUAGUAAUCGUAGAUCAGCAUGCUACGGUGAAUACGUUCCCGGGUCU